UACGUAGGGACCAAGCGUUGUUCGGAUUUACUGGGCGUAAAGGGCGCGUAGGCGGCGUGGUAAGUCACUUGUGAAAUCUCUGAGCUUAACUCAGAACGGCCAAGUGAUACUGCUGUGCUAGAGUGCAGAAGGGGCAAUCGGAAUUCUUGGUGUAGCGGUGAAAUGCGUAGAUAUCAAGAGGAACACCUGAGGUGAAGACGGGUUGCUGGGCUGACACUGACGCUGAGGCGCGAAAGCCAGGGGAGCAAACAGG
rnacentral:rRNA from 1 species